rnacentral:lncRNA from 1 species
CUGAACUCCUAAACGCUAUCUCUGCUGCGGGCCCUGUUCACUGUUGGCAACUCAGCUGUAAGUUCACAAAUAAAGUAACUUAAAAAUAUUUACACUGUUACUUUUUACAACACAUCAUGUAAAAACCUGACAUUACGUCCUUAUUUGAGAAACUGCAGCACAUUUUCAUUGUAACACAAACCAUUUUAAAUAACACUUUAUUUUAACUAAUGCAGAAUCAAAUGGAAAUAAUUUUGCUGGCUGAUUACAGUUGGAACUACAAUGCAGUGAGAUAUGCUGGUUUUGUACAACUAAACUAAAAAUCUCUUGUCUCUGUUUUUCCAGUUUUCUUCUUGCCAACUCUAUCCUGUCUCCAAGUGCAGACUGCUUUGUGGCGACUCGACGUAAGUUCACACAGGAAUGACAUUUUCAUGAAUAACAGUGUGCCUUUAUUCAACACAUUUUGGACCCCUCAUCAUGUACUAACUUGACGAUUUUUUCCCUUUGAUUAUGUAAUACUCAUAGUUGAAAAUGAACAGCUUGAAUGUGAUAUUCAAUACACUUUUUUGCAUUUCAUUUCCAAUCAUUGGAAAGCAAUGUAUUACCAUUUAAUUGUGGAGUUGUAGUUUUUUAAUGAUGAAAAUCCAAAUAAUUACUAAUUGAAUGUGAGUCCCUCCUUUGUGCAUCUCUUAUAUAUAUAUAAAAUAAAAAAAAACAAGCUAAUUUGAUGUUCCUUAAUAUGGAAUACACAAUCAUUAUCUAUGCCACCAUUGAUUUAUUUUAUUAUUCAUUUAAUCCUACGUUUAGAAAUGUGUAUCUCCUUCUAAGGUACCUUGCAUGCUUCUGUUUACAGCUCAUGGAGCUGCUUGGCCUCAUUACAACUUAUUACAUUGUAGAAAUACUUAAAACACAGUAAAGGAAAUUACAUUCUCCGAAACACAUAAUAUUUUAUCAGCAGAGUAAUCCAUUGUUAUUAUUGCUUACCAGGACAUGGUUAUGAACAUUAUAAAGGGAACUUAAAAUAAAGAGUCUAAAAUACACAGGAAUAAUCAAUCUUUUUGUAAAAUACUUUGAAGUCCUAAAUUUAAAAAGUUGGCUGUGUGGUUGGAUUCAAGUUGGACUCAGUGGAGGAUGUCGUGGAGAGAUCUACAAUGAGGAAGGUGGAGGCUUUUCUAAAGAACAUGGUUCACCCACUUCAUAACACCUUGAUGGACCAAAGGGCCAAUGGUGGUGGACGGCUCCUCUCUCUCUUCGCUGCAGGACAGAAAGAUUCAGAAGAUCUUUUGUACCCACAGCCAUCAGACUUUACAAUUUAAAAAGUAGAUGAUUUUUUGAGACAUGACAAAUAAGACUAUAGACAAUUGAAUUUCCCUUGGAGGAUAAAUAAAGUUCUUCGUAUGUUAAAUACAUUUUUGAUUAACUCUUAUGAGCACUUUGGAUUUUUAGUCCUUAUUAAUUUGAUUGAAGGGCUAUCAAACAAGACAAUGAUCACUUCCAGCUUUUGACUCAACUUGACUUUUGAUAGAUGUGUAGUUGAGGACAGCCACUUGGUGGGUUGAGUAAAAGCACAUUAUAAUUUAGCUUUGGGUGGAUGUUGGUUCAUUUUAUUUUAUUUUUUUAAUAAAAAAAGAUUAAUGUCUGUUUCCAUUGUGUCUUACAGGUAUCCUGUCCAGUCUCCCAACUCUCCCCUAUCAUUUUGGUCGCUCUGUCUUUCCUGUCUCCUCUACCACUCUGUCUGAUUGAAAAGUCCCUCUGUCUUUGUAUCCCCCGUCUAUCCCACUCUGGCUACUAAUACAAUCCUUGAAUAAAUCUUUGAUACCAUUGAAACAAGUCUUUGAUACCAUUGAAACAAAUCAUUGAGGCCUAUUGUAACAAAUCAUUGAGACCUAUUGUAACAAAUCAUUGAGGCCUAUUGUAACAAAUCAUUGAGACCUAUUGUAACAAAUCAUUGAGGCCUAUUGUAACAAAUCAUUGAGACCUAUUUUAACAAAUAAAACUUUUUUGAGAAACCUUUUUAUAAAAUCAACCUUUUUUUGAGAAACCAAACUUUUGAAAAGCUGUACAUUUAAUACAACCACUGUUUUGAAAAAACCCUAAUUUUGCAAAAGUCUGACUGUUGUUCUAGGUUUUCCUUUCCUGUCUGUGGAUCCAGAGUUUCACCAGAAGAAGUGUCAUCAGCACCACCACAUCUGCAUCCCUGGUUUUGAAAGAGGAAGAAAAAACACGUUUCAUAUAGAAUAUUUGAGUUAGAUAUUAUUUCAAGUACAAAGUCCUAAGAUUUAGAAAUUGUUGUUGAUUUGUGUUUUUCUGAAAACAUUUAUAUAGUCUUGCCUAGGAUUUUCUUAUAAAACAUUUGAUAAACUAUUGUGGUAUACAAACAGUUAUAAAUUUUAUUUUUUGGAGGC